rnacentral:rRNA from 1 species
GUGGGGAAUCUUGCGCAAUGGGCGAAAGCCUGACGCAGCCAUGCCGCGUGAAUGAUGAAGGUCUUAGGAUUGUAAAAUUCUUUCACCGGGGACGAUAAUGACGGUACCCGGAGAAGAAGCCCCGGCUAACUUCGUGCCAGCAGCCGCGUUAAUACGAAGGGGGCUAGCGUUGCUCGGAAUUACUGGGCGUAAAGGGCGCGUAGGCGGACAGUUUAGUCAGAGGUGAAAGCCCAGGGCUCAACCUUGGAAUUGCCUUUGAUACUGGCUGUCUUGAGUACGGGAGAGGUGAGUGGAACUCCGAGUGUAGAGGUGAAAUUCGUAGAUAUUCGGAAGAACACCAGUGGCGAAGGCGACUCACUGGCCCGUUACUGACGCUGAGGCGCGAAAGCGUGGGGAGCAAACAGGAUUAGAUACCCGGGUAGUUC